CGGGGAGAAAAGGAGUGAAGCGUGGCGGCGGCCUACACAUGCAAGUCGAGCGGAUGACGGGAGCUUGCUCCUUGAUUCAGCGGCGGACGGGUGAGUAAUGCCUAGGAAUCUGCCUGGUAGUGGGGGACAACGUUCCGAAAGGGGCGCUAAUACCGCAUACGUCCUACGGGAGAAAGUGGGGGAUCUUCGGACCUCACGCUAUCAGAUGAGCCUAGGUCGGAUUAGCUAGUUGGUGAGGUAAUGGCUCACCAAGGCGACGAUCCGUAACUGGUCUGAGAGGAUGAUCAGUCACACUGGAACUGAGACACGGUCCAGACUCCUACGGGAGGCAGCAGUGGGGAAUAUUGGACAAUGGGCGAAAGCCUGAUCCAGCCAUGCCGCGUGUGUGAAGAAGGUCUUCGGAUUGUAAAGCACUUUAAGUUGGGAGGAAGGGCAGUAAGUUAAUACCUUGCUGUUUUGACGUUACCGACAGAAUAAGCACCGGCUAACUCUGUGCCAGCUGCCCCGGGGUAAUACA
rnacentral:rRNA from 2 species